AUGGUGUAUUUCACAGUGUUUGCGCCUGUUUUAUUUCUUCUUCUCCCUCAGAGCCGCAGAUGUUUGCGAGGGUUGAACACAGACGUGAUGAUGAUGAUGAUGAUGUCCACCGAACGUCCCGGAGCCCAGAGCUGCACGACCGGGUCGGUGUCGACUCUCAUACGCCGGGAAGCAGAGUACAGCGGUUUCAGGAUGCGACGUGUUUUCGGACGCCCGGGGUGCUGUGAGCUACACCCCACCCCCCCGCGCAAUUCCCAAACUGGAGGAAUGGAGUUUGGGAGGUCAGUGAUGAGACUGGUCUUUACCUUGCCCCCCUGAUCAAGGGCAGACUGCUUGGAAAAUGUGGUUCUGUCGCUGGAAAGGUGGGCGGUAACAUCCAGCCCAGCGCGGGACAAAAGCCGCCCCACCCCUUCAAACAAUAUGCAUCCCAUUCUUCUCAUUCCUUGUGUUAAUGAAAAGGUUAACCAGCAAUAUCAACGGUACGGUUUCUCACGGUGAAAAGCAUCCUGAUGUCGAGCUGUCCACCAUAUAUAAAUCCAGAUAUUGUAUAUUCUCUAGAUAAACCCAUUUAGCUUGCCUUCUUUAUGGGGGGGGGGGAAUCAACUUGAAAACUCCACCCUUUCUUAAAAAAAUAAAACUUUUAUUAAAUUAGGUCA
rnacentral:lncRNA from 1 species